rnacentral:rRNA from 1 species
UACGGAGGGUGCAAGCGUUAUCCGGAUUUACUGGGUUUAAAGGGUGCGUAGGUGGGUAAGUAAGUCAGUGGUGAAAUCUUCGAGCUUAACUCGGAAACUGCCAUUGAUACUAUUUAUCUUGAAUACUUUGGAGGUAAGCGGAAUAUGUCAUGUAGCGGUGAAAUGCUUAGGUAUGACAUAGAACACCAAUUGCGAAGGCAGCUUACUACACAGUUAUUGACACUGAGGCACGAAAGCGUGGGGAUCAAACAGG